AUUGUUUAUAAUCUUUGUAUUGAUGUCAUAAACACGACUUGCAACGGGACAACGGAGUGAGAAUCUCCCCGCUGCCCCGCAGCCGUGAUUGGGAACGAAAGCCCCGCAUUGGGAUACCUCGGGAAUUUCGGGUUAAACCAAGGUGAGAGCCACUGGCAAGAGAGCGGUCAAUUGUAGCAUGGCUCGUAUAGAGCCGUAGCAGAAGCCGGAACCCUCUGCCGGGAAGGCGGGUGAGUAGGACAGCGGUACAUUUACAUAAUGCGUAUGCGCAUACCGUCGAUGCCCUGAGCCGGAAGACCUGUUGCAAAUAAAUUUACCAC
rnacentral:ncRNA from 2 species